rnacentral:rRNA from 1 species
GAACAUACUUCCUUAUUUUAUUAUUGCAUGAAAUAGGUAUCUUAAUCCAACAUCGAGGUCACAAACUUUCUUGAUGAUAAGGACUCUUGAAGAAAAUUAUGCUGUUAUCCCUAUAGUAACUUAUUCUUUUUUAAAAACUUUUUGAUUGGUCAAGAGUUAAUCCCACGUUAUUAAAAUAAAAUUUUAUUUAUCUACUGCCCCAGUAAAAUAAUUUUUAAUUUAUAUUGAUAUUAAACUAAGAUUAUAAAGCUUAAUAGGGUCUUCUUGUCUUUAAAGUGGAUUUUAGCUUUUUUACUAAAAUAUAAAAUUUGAAGUAUAAUAAUAAGACAUGAUUAUUUAGUUAAACCAUUCAUUCCAGUCCUAAAUUACAAGACUAAUGAUU